rnacentral:rRNA from 1 species
UACGAAGGGGGCUAGCGUUGCUCGGAAUCACUGGGCGUAAAGGGUGCGUAGGCGGGUCUUUAAGUCAGGGGUGAAAUCCUGGAGCUCAACUCCAGAACUGCCUUUGAUACUGAAGAUCUUGAGUCCGGGAGAGGUGAGUGGAACUGCGAGUGUAGAGGUGAAAUUCGUAGAUAUUGGGAAGAACACCAGUGGCGAAGGCGGCUCACUGGCCCGGUACUGACGCUGAGGCACGAAAGCGUGGGGAGCAAACAGG